rnacentral:lncRNA from 1 species
UUCACAUUUGUAUUAUGUUAAAAUAGUGACACCCGUUUGCCAACCUAUAAUGGCAUCAGUAAUCAAAUAUACAUAUUUGAUUUUUAACAUAAAUCUUAGUAGUCUAUAUUACUUAUACGUAUACACAAGUAUAAGACUCUUGACCAUUAGCAGAGUGACCGUGGGUGAAGAUACGGCUACUGAGAUGCCAUAGUACCUAUUAAGAAGGCGAGC